UACGUAGGCAGCAAGCGUUGUUCGGAAUUACUGGGCGUAAAGAGUGUGUAGGCGGUGUUCUAAGUUUGGCGUGAAAUCUCCCGGCUUAACUGGGAGGGUGCGGCGAAAACUGGAAUGCUAGAGGAUGGGAGAGGUAAGCGGAAUUCCUGGUGUAGCGGUGAAAUGCGUAGAUAUCAGGAGGAACACCUGUGGUGUAGACAGCUUACUGGACCAUUUCUGACGCUGAGACACGAAAGCGUGGGUAGCAAACAGG
rnacentral:rRNA from 1 species